rnacentral:tRNA from 1 species
GGAGAUGUGGCUCAGUGGUAGAGCACUUGCCUUGCAAGCAUGAGUCCCUGGGUUCGAUUCACAGCACCACAA